CCUACGGGGUGCAGCAGUAGGGAAUCUUCCGCAAUGGGCGAAAGCCUGACGGAGCAACGCCGCGUGAGUGAUGAAGGUCUUCGGAUCGUAAAACUCUGUUGUUAGGGAAGAACAAAUUUGUUAGUAACUGAACAGGUCUUGACGGUACCUGACCAGAAAGCCACGGCUAACUACGUGCCAGCAGCCGCGGUAAUACGUAGGUGGCAAGCGUUAUCCGGAAUUAUUGGGCGUAAAGCGCGCGUAGGCGGUUUCUUAAGUCUGAUGUGAAAGCCCACGGCUCAACCGUGGAGGGUCAUUGGAAACUGGGAAACUUGAGUGGAGAGGAGGAGAGUGGAAUUCCAUGUGUAGCGGUGAAAUGCGCAGAGAUAUGGAGGAACACCAGUGGCGAAGGCGGCUCUCUGGUCUGUAACUGACGCUGAUGUGCGAAAGCGUGGGGAUCAAACAGGAUUAGAUACCCGUGUAGUC
rnacentral:rRNA from 1 species